GACGAACGCUGGCGGCGUGCCUAAUACAUGCAAGUCGAACGCAGUGGGGACGGGUGCGUAACAAGUGGGUAACCUCCCAUCAGACGGGAUAACACUUGGAUACAGGUGCUAAACCGCUACUGAUGGAUGUACCAGCGGUGCAUUAGCUAGGUGGUGAGGUAACGGCUCACCAAGGCCACGAUGCAGAGCCGACCUGAGAGGUUGAUCGGCCACACUGGGACGGAGACACGGCCCAGACUCCUACGGGAGGCAGCAGUGGGGAAUCUUCGGCAAUGGGCGAAAGUCUGACCGAGCAACGCCGCGUGAGUGAAGAAGGUUUUCGGAUCGUAAAACUCUGUUGUUAGAGAAGCGGUAUCUAACCAGAAAGCCACGGCUAACUACGUGCCAGCAGCCGCGGUAAUAC
rnacentral:rRNA from 1 species